rnacentral:misc_RNA from 1 species
GAUGUUAGUGAACACCGCAACGAGUUACUUCCCUUGAAUAUUUUAUUUUGGAAAAACUAAAGCGAAGUUUUGAUGUUGGCUCCUUCAGCUCAGUAAUGAGAAUGCUAAUCUGAUUGUGUCAACCCAUCAAGAAAGAAGAUAAAGGCUCCCUGGAACAUGGAUCAGGAAACAGCACAAUUGUUGUUUAAAGAAGGGGCUAUUUUCAUCCUUCUUGAUGUUCCCCUGGGCACAGAGUUUGGCAUUGAUUAUAACUGUUGGGAUGUUGGACCCAAAUUUAAGGGUGUCAAAAUGAUCCCACCUGGAGUUCAUUUCAUAUAUUACAGCUACAAGAAAUGGGUGUCCCUCACAAACCACAUCACUAGCGAUUUACUUACCUCACUGCAUGCAGAGGGAAUGAAAAUAUCAUCUGUAACAGCCCUCAAAUCAGAGAAAAGUGAUUCUCUCUCAAGAGCCGCAGAUCGGCUGAAAAGCUCGGAGCCGGUUCGGGAUGUAAGUCAGGAAUGUCAGUCAAUAAAGGAAGCAGAAUCUCAUCUGUCCAAACUGCAGUUUGCUCCAGACUCCAGUGUUCAAUACCAUGCUAUUCCUAGGAAAUACCCAGCUGGAGCAAGCCCUGCUGAUGUCACCAAAUACAGCUUAGAUUCCAGUUAUGCCCUUAGCACAAUGAUCGAAUCCUGCUACAACAACAAAGAAUUGUUGUUGUUGGGGGAGCUGCAGAUAUCAUUUGUGUGUUUUAUCAUAGGACAAGUUUACGAUGGUUUUGAGCAAUGGAAGAAGCUGGUCAGUGUUCUGUCAACGGCACAGAGAGCGGUCGUCACUUACCAAAACCUUUACAUGCAAUGCAUUAAAGUUCUCUAUUUCCAACUGAAGGAAAUACCUGAAGAUUUCUUUGUGGACAUUUUGUCCCAACAAAAUUUCCUUACCGACACACUUUAUGAGUUUUUCUUGAACAUCAACAACGAGGAGGUCAGUGAUGAACUGAGGAAAAGAGGGGCAAAGUUUAAAGCAAAUUUAACGGAAACUUUCAAAUGGGAUUUUAGCAGAGAACCUGAUGAAUAUGCCCCGGUUGUUGUUGAAACUGAGAUUACAUAGUGUGGGGCAACCAGAUGAGUAUGGCCCUGUUGUGGUUGAAAGCGAGAGCACAAACUUAAGGUAACAAACCAUUCAGUCAGAUACCACAAAGUCCAGUGUAAUGGACAUCAGAACAAUGGUUGUCCAUCAACCUGUUUCUUCAUACAUCAACAUGUUCUCAUGACAUUAAAUUUCUCCAACAUUUC